GGUUGUGUAGUGUAGCGGUUAUCACUCUGGAUUUUGACUUGCUGUUAGAUCUUCCAGUAACCCCGGUUCGAACCCGGGCACGACCU